AAGUGCCAAGGAUAAAAUGAAGACUUCUAUAGUAGUAGUGAGACUAGCUGUGCUUCCUCUCUGUACAGCACCUGACACUAAGUGGGUAAAAGCACAGGCUAGGAUGUGCACCUCAAGCUCUGCUCCCUUCUCCAGUGCCUAGCACUUGUGCUCCUUUUACCCACAUGUAUUUAACUACACACUUCUCCA